rnacentral:rRNA from 1 species
ACUCUGCUUCGGGGUCCGACUAAUCCAUGCGAGUCAUGGGGCUCCCUUUUGGGAGCACCGGCGAACGGCUCAGCAACACGUGGCUAACCUACCCUCGGGUGGGGGAUAACCUCGGGAAACUGAGGCUAAUCCCCCAUAGGGGAGGAGGUCUGGAAUGAUCCCUCCCCGAAAGGCAGUAAGCCGCCCGAGGAUGGGGCUGCGGCGGAUUAGGUAGUUGGUGGGGUAAUGGCCCACCAAGCCUACGAUCCGUACGGGCCCUGAGAGGGGGAGCCCGGAGAUGGACACUGAGACACGGGUCCAGGCCCUACGGGGCGCAGCAGGCGCGAAACCUCCGCAAUGCGCGAAAGCGCGACGGGGGGACCCCGAGUGCCCUGCCUCUGGCAGGGCUUUUCCGGAGUGUAAACAGCUCCGGGAAUAAGGGCUGGGCAAGUCCGGUGCCAGCAGCCGCGGUAAUACCGGCGGCCCAAGUGGUGGCCACUGUUAUUGGGCCUAAAGCGUCCGUAGCCGGCCCGGUAAGUCUCUGCUUAAAUCCCGCGGCUUAACCGCGGGGCUGGCAGAGAUACUGCCGGGCUUGGGACCGGGAGAGGCCGGGGGUACCCCAGGGGUAGCGGUGAAAUGCGUUGAUCCCUGGGGGACCACCUGUGGCGAAGGCGCCCGGCUGGAACGGGUCCGACGGUGAGGGACGAAGGCCGGGGGAGCAAACCGGAUUAGAUACCCGGGUAGUCCCGGCUGUAAACUCUGCGGACUAGGUGUCGCGUGCCCUUCGGGGGCACGCGGUGCCGAAGGGAAGCCGUUAAGUCCGCCGCCUGGGGAGUACGGUCGCAAGACUGAAACUUAAAGGAAUUGGCGGGGGAGCACUACA